rnacentral:lncRNA from 1 species
UAAGAAUACUAUAGAACUUUUUAAAGCUUCCACUGGUUAAGAAAAGAUGGAACAUCUUCAUAACCUGUCAGCAAAAGAUGGGACAUCUUUUUGGCGUCCGAGUUUCCACUAUAUCAGGGUGUCCCAAAAAACCCGAAAACUAUUGAAAUCACUUAUUGUUAAAAUUGAAUGCCCUACCAAAAAGCUGAACGUAAUGAUGCGUAAAAUAUUGACAAGGUGCAUGUAUUAAAAUUGAGUUAAGAACAUCUCCUUGUAAAGUGCGCGAUUUUCUGCUCAUGGGAAUUUAAAGCAGCUUCUUAAAUAGUUUCUUUAUGCAUAAAAUUUACUUAUGUCAAUCAUUUAUGCACUCGUGGGAACCAACAGAGUACUUAGGCAUUCAAAUUCUAACAAUUAAAUUGUUAUUGGUGAUUUCAAUAGUUUUCGGGUUUUUUGGGACACCCUGUUUAUUCAGAAAGUAUGUAAUGCGCUUAUAGGUAAUUUGCAAUGCGGCGCACUGCGCUCUCAUGCAAAGAACAAAUGAAUAAUAUAAAAGGUUCUUUUAUUAUACCAGCCACUGUAUACAUAAAUUCGUUCAUUUAUUAGCGAUUCUCAGCAGCCUUUCGCGCUCGUAUUCGACUUUUCCGCUUUGCUCGGGAGACAACCUUAAUUGAAAUAGCUGUAUAUAUAUGUAAAUAAAUAUUAUUUGUCUUGUGCUGCCAUGUGUCAAAAUAUAGAAAUGAGAAUAUUAUAAUGAAUAUAUUACAAUCAACUCGCGGUUGUGAUAGCUCUCGGC